CUUAUCCUUACUAUUUGGAAGAAUAAGAGAAGCACCGGAUUUUCUUGGAUCCUUUGAUGGGUCAAUCAUUGAUAAUAGCAAUAUAUUCUCAGGCUUAAGAUCAGUGUGUAUAAUAGAAAGUUGUCUGUGCAAAUAAUCCAAACCCACUAAAAUGUGGAAACAGAUCUCUUUAACCUUAUGAAUUGGCAUUCCGUGAUAAUCAGAAUACUUGAUAAGGGUCAAAAGGUUAUCCCCUAAGUACUCAAAAACCAUACAAACAUGCUGUCCAUUUGGACCUGAAUGCUUAAAAUGAUCCAAAAGCUUUACCACACAUUUUUUAUCAUCAGGGUCUCCCUCUGCAAUCUGUUGCAAGAUGGUUAUCUCAUCCAUGGCAGCUUCGGUAUAAUGUUGAGCACUUUUUUGUACCUUUAAAGCUACAUAUCGAGAUUUUUGCGUGUCCCAAGCGAGCCAGA
rnacentral:misc_RNA from 1 species